UUGUUAUCCCAUUUAUGCAAAUGACUCAGAAAUUUCCAACCUGGUACCCCCAAAAUAUUAAAUAUGCCAUUUUAGUCAUUUUUUAAAGUAAAGAGAAGGACAAACAUUCCUAAUUGUUCAUCACUAAAUUAAAAUUUUUCUUUCUAGAUGCCAGGACACCAGCAGGAUGAUACCUUUUUAAAAAAUAAGUAUUCAGUGUUUUGAAGCAUUUUGUUUUUGUAUUUAUUCUGAUUUAUUCUACAGUAGGUUUCUGGGGAAAUCUCAAACACUUUUUAUUGCAGGCCAUGAGAAAUGCUAUAUAGGUGUGGAUUUGGAUGGAUGUGAUGUUUGGAAGCAUCCUGGUUCAUUUUUCUUCCUUUGACCAUCCAUGCUGAUUGAGGCAAGAACAGUAUUGAGCUGAUCACUUUGAUUCGUGACAUCUGCUGUGUUUCUCCACCUGAGCCACCUUACCCCAGAUGUGAUCUUCCCCACAGAGAAAAUGCAAAGAGAUAUUGUUGCAACCACCAGUAUCAGUAAAUGCUUUUCACAAAACAGGAAGCUAAAAUAAGGGGGAAAUCUAUCUGCUAUCUUAACACCCUAAAGAGCUUGAAAUGGAUUUUUUGACAUUCAGUGUUUCACUCACUGAGUUCUCCCCACAUUAUUAAUGGUAUGGGAAUUAGGAGGAGGUCAUCUGACUCACAUGGAUCACCAUAUAAUUCCUUCUGGAGAACAGAAAAAAUGCAGAAGAGGAAAACUUCCAUAUGUGAAGCUAUGGCAAGGGAGUCUCCCCACCCCGCGCUCCAACAGAGUCUGGAGAUAAAUACCAGUCCAUAUUCUGCUGCUACCUCCCUCGUUGACCACUUUGACUUCAGC
rnacentral:lncRNA from 1 species